rnacentral:lncRNA from 1 species
CAGAAAGUCAUUAUUAUUCUUUUCCAAAAAUCCUAAACACAGCUGCAAUAAACUGAUUAAGACCUAUGAAAUUGCAGUUGUAACAUUCUAUUGUUUGUUCCCUGCCAUGAAUGUAUAUACUAGUGAUGGCGAAUAUUUUUGGAUGCGUGGGUCAAAUUCGCCAUAUCGUUGCUUGCAGCAUUUAUUCGUGGGUCAGUGGAUUCUUUACAGCGCUUAUUCAUGGGUCAGUGGCAAAUUGAGGGAGGUGACCUUUGGAGGAGGCAGAUCUACUUUGAGAACUGAGAAGCAAAAAAAAAAAAGGAUGCGAGUUUGUAAUAAAAUUGUAGUACUUUUAGUGAGG